GCAAAAAAACACAAGAAGGAAGAUUUAAAUUGUAUUCAAACACAGAUAAGUUCUUCCUGGUACUGAUCAGAAAGCUGAAGCCACAGGAUGCUGGAACAUACAGAUUUGGAUUGGAGAAUCAGAGCAACGCCACUGUGAACCUAAAAGUUGUUAAUGAUUCUUGUUGUGCUGGGACAAAAUUAAAGACCGCUUUUGUUGGGCAGAAUAUCACCAUCACAUGUAGCUAUCCAGGGGAGUAUGAGAGUAACAUCAAGUAUGUCCUCAUACUGGAUCACGACAUGAAUAUUGAAAGAGUUCUCGAUACUGAGACAAAACUUCAGAACGGAAGAUUCUCCAUUUCUGAUGACAAAAGUGCUAAAGUUCUCAGAAUGAACCUCAGCGAUGUGAGAGAAGCUGAUGGAGUAUUUUAUUUAUUUGGAGUGUGGAACAAAGAUGGGUCAGUCAGAUAUUACUCCUACUUUACAGAGAUUCAGCUGCAUGUAACAGGAUUGAGCACGAGCAUUCAACCAACAACAACAACAGGCACCGACAUGACGACCUCAGCAGCACUGACAGAAACUCCAUCUGCAGUGUGUUUCAGUUCCUCUGCCAUCAUCAUCGGUGUGUGUGUCUGUGUGGCUCUGCUGCUGAUUGGAGGAUUUGCACUGAUGAUCUACAAACUGAGACACAAGAGAACACAAGGAUGAAGAUCCUCCUCAUCUUCAUCCUCUGCCUUCUCUCAGGUCCAGUAGACUGCUCUGAUGUGACUGGUUACUCAGGAGGAAGUGUCAUUAUGAUAUCUAAUAUCAACUGGUACACAAGCAAUAGUAAAUAUAUUUGUAAGGUGAAAGGAAACGACUGCAUCGAUAUAAUACGCGCUGAGACCAAACGCCACCAAACACAAGAAGGAAGAUUUUUUUUGUAUUCAAACACAGAUAAGUUCUUCCUGGUACUGAUCAGAAAGCUGAAGCCACAGGAUGCUGGAACAUACAGAUUUGGAUUGGAGAAUCAGAGCAACGCCACUGUGAACCUAAAAGUUGUUAAUGAUUCUUGUUGUGCUGGGACAAAAUUAAAGACCGCUUUUGUUGGGCAGAAUAUCACCACCACAUGUAGCUAUCCAGGGGAGUAUGAGAGUAACAUCAAGUAUGUCCUCAAACUGGAUGACGACAUGUUUGUUCAAAACGUUGUUGAUACUGACAAAGAAUUUCAGAACGGAAGAUUCUCCAUUUCUGAUGACAAAAGUGCUAAAGUUCUCAGAGUGAACCUCAGCGAUGUGAGAGAAGCUGAUGGAGUAUUUUAUUUAUUUGGAGUGUGGAACAAAGAUGGGUCAGUCGGAUAUUACUCCUACUUUACAGAGAUUCAGCUGCAUGUAACAGGAUUGAGCACGAGCAUUCAACCAACAACAACAACAGGCACCGACAUGACGACCUCAGCAGCACUGACAGAAACUCCAUCUGCAGUGUGUUUCAGUUCCUCUGCCAUCAUCAUCGGUGUGUGUGUCUGUGUGGCUCUGCUGCUGAUUGGAGGAUUUGCACUGAUGAUCUACAAACUGAGACACAAGAGAACACAAGAUUAUACACCUUCAUCCAAGAGUAAAGACAAUAAACCAGUUACUUCUGAUCAUAACACCGAUUCAGCUCAUCUGUACGAAAAUUUCAGAAUGAGCUCAAUAUGAAUCUGCACCAGGACACAAACCAAUCAGACUGUUGAGCUGUUAUUCUUACUGUUCUGAGCUGCCUCGUAGUGCCUCAACUCCCAAUGCUGUAGUGUCUCUCUUCACCUCUUUAUAGGACUGAAACCUAAAAAACAAUGCUGAUCCUAAAUCCAUGCCAGUUUGAUCAGGUGCAGUUUCUGGAGGACUGCUAGCCAGUUUCUCUCUCUCUCUCUCUCUCUCUCUCUCUCUCUCUGUCUCUCUGUCUCUCUGUCUUUCUCUCUCUCUCUGUCUUUCUCUCUCUUUUUCUCUCUCUCUCUAUCGCUCUCUCGUUCUCUGUCUUUCUCUCUCUUUCUCUCUCCCUUGCUCUCUUUCUCUCUCUCUAUCGCUCUGUCUCUCUCUCUCUCUAUCGCUCUCUUUGUUUCUUGUAGUUUUUACAUUUGUUUAGUUAAAGAUAAAGUGAUGAUUGUGAGCAAGGUGUUAUGAAACUUAUUAUCUAUAUAAAUGAAACAUUAUCGAUGUAUAAUGACUGAUAAAUGAUAUUAUUAUUAUUAUUAUUAUUAUUAUUAUUAUUAUUAUUAUUAUUAUUAUUAUUAUUAUUGUUGUAAUGAUUACUUAAUUAAUUGUUUCUUAACUAGUUAUCCAUUUUAUAUCAUGACAUUACUGUGCUUUAUUCUGAUCUGUUAUAGGAGUUACUUUAUUACAGUUUAAAUAUGAACCCAUUUAGUGCUGAGAUCUCGUUCAACACAUCGUACGCUCUGUUUCGAUUACGCUGUUGAGGCUUAAGAAGGAGAGCUAUAUUCCAAAUAACUGUCUAUAUCUAAUUGUGUAUUUCUGUUAUAUGUCAGUGAAAUUCUCUAAAUCAAUAAAAACACACUUCCUGUCCUUUAAAC
ensembl:lncRNA